rnacentral:lncRNA from 1 species
UCUCAGGGGAGGUUUUUAAAAUUACCCGGAUUUUGAUUAUACUUGUGAAAAGGAAAAAAAAAGAAAAAAAAGAAAAGAAAGAAAAGAAAGACAGAGAGAGAGAGGUAAAAAAAAGGGGAGAGUGAGUCCUGUUAAGGAUUCUGUUGCUUUGGAAAUUCUACUGGCCGUGAAGCUGUCGUGCACCAGAAAAAUAAAUGAACAGUGGACAGUGAAACAAACAAGUACCAAAGCAAAAACGUGGAGAGGAGGAGACUGAGACGAAUAAAAAGGCCUUCGAGUGCAUCACGGAAAGGUAAAGACAUUGGACAUUAGACAGUGCUUGUGUGCAAGCGCAGGUUGCCAGAGAUAUUUUUCUUACGGAAGUGCCCACACAUUCAUUUACUGAUUUACAAUACAAUACAAUACCUCCUCUGCCCCUGCCUCUGCCUCCCUCUGAUAACUUCGUUUGAGUUUCAUACAUUAACACUACAUGACAACUCUUUUCUACAGCGCAUGGACCAUCUCUUUCUCUUGUUUUGCAUGGCCAUAGGUGAUAUUUUCUUGCUUACCCAUGGUGUUGAAAAAGUUUUUCAUUUUAACUCCCUAAUAAUGCAUUUUCAUUCACUUCAUAAUAAUCUUCUUCCCACCCUUUUCUAUUGUUUAAAAGGUAGGGGUUCGUGGGUAAAGUUUUAAUUCAUUUUUUACUUCUUACCUCUCCUCAACGUACUUAACCACCAAUCACCCAUGUAAAUUCUUGUUCAAUAUGAGUUUAAGUUAUGAACAACACAUCCUACUAACAAACUUUAACUUCAGAGUUCAUUCCAUAAUAAAUAUAAAUUUUCAUCUUUAAUAUGCCGGCAUCAAGUCCAUCCUUGAAAGCUAGCUCAAUCUUCUUCUUCUUCUUUUUUUAUGAGAAAGUAAAGUUUUCUAAUUAAUGAACUUUGACAAUAACAUCAUAAUCUGAACUAGCUCAAUCUUUUGAGUUACGUAAGUAUGGCCAAUCUUUUAUAU